AUUUAUUGACCUUACCUAAUUAUUUUUCUCUUUUAACGGAUACGUUUAAAAAAAUUUAGUAUGAAUACCUUUUGUAUAAGUGUUUUUCAAUAAAUAGAUAUAAUAUAUUUUUCCCGAAAAUAAUUGAUAAAAUAAUUAUAAUAUAUUACGUAGCAUAGUAAUAUAUUUAAUCCUUAUUAGAAAUGAAAAAUUUUUCAAUAUUAUAGAUAUCUGGAUUAUUAAUAAAAGUAUUGAGUACUUUAUACCAAUAAUAGGUGUUACGAUCUAUUAUACUUUGAAAAUUUUUUAUUAUAUUAUUUUUUUUAAAUAGAAUUAAUAUUUUUUUUAAAAACAUAUUAUUAUUGUAUAUUUUAGUUCUUAAAAAUAUUAAUAACUUUUUAAAAAAUUUUUUUUUGUAUUUUUUAUGAAAAAAUUAGUAUUAUUUUUAUAAGUUUUUUAGGAAUUCGGCAAAUAAUAAUUUCAAUCGUUUAUCAAAAACAUAGUUUUAUGAAUUUAUAUAAAAUAUUUUCUGCCCAGUGUUAAAAAUAAUUAAUAAAUGGCCGCAGUACCUUGACUGUGCUAAGGUAGCAUAAUCAAUUGGCUUUUAAUUAAGGUCUAGAAUGAAUGGGAUAAUGAAGUUAAUCUGUCUUAAUAACUUUUACUAAAAUUUAUUUAGAAGGUGAAAAUACCUUUCUAAAGAAUAAAGACGAGAAGACCCUUAGAAUUUUUACUAACUUUUUGUUGGGGCGACAAUUUAAAAUUUGAUCUUAAAUUAUUACUAUAUAACGAUUUUUUUAAUAAAAAUUAAAUUACCUUAGGGAUAACAGCAUAAUUAUUAAAAUAGUUUGUGACCUCGAUGUUGGACUAGGAACUAUAUGGCUAACCGUCUAAAUAGAUUUGUUCUGUUCGAACAAUUAAAUCCUACAUGAUCUGAGUUCAGACCGGCGUAAGCCAGGUCAGUUUCUAUCUUAUAAUAUUCUAAUUGUAGUACGAAAGGAUCUAAUUGG
rnacentral:rRNA from 1 species